AGCCCUUAAGACUAUACUUUCAGGGAUCGUUUUUAUAGUAUAUUAUUGUAGAAGUUUUUUUGAGCAUGUGAAGCGUUGGUCAAACCGCGAAGAGGUAGAUGUUGUGUCGUUUUCCAAAAAAUCACUAUCUGGUGGCGUUUUAUUGUAGUUGUUAUUUGCUAUUGAUGGUCGUUCUUCUCUCCGUUUGGGGAAGGAACUUAUGUUGAUGCAGUAAACUCCUUGGGGCCAAACAGCACUUUUUGUUGCAGCGUUAUUGGGCCUUAGGAAAUUCGUUGAUGUUCUGGUGGAUUAUGGAUCAGAUCCAAAUCAGUGGAGUGCAGUGGUUCGAUUUUGACUCACUGCAACCUCUGCUUCCUGGGUUCAAGAGAUUCUCCUGCCUCACCCUCCCGAGUACCUGGUACUACAGGCAUUCACCGCCACCGCACCUGACUAAUUUUUGUAUUUUUAGUUUUGCCAUGUUGUCCAGGCUGGUCUUGAAUUCCUGACCUCAGGUGAUCCAUCUGCCUCAGCCUCUCAAAGUGCUGGGAUUUUAGG